rnacentral:lncRNA from 1 species
GGACUGGAACAGGCGCAAGCUGAAAUGUUGGGUGAACUGUUAAAUGACUGAUGUAGUAAUUCAGAUGACAAAUAAUAAUGGCCUGGAUUUGAGACGCAGAAAAGAAGAUGGGGAGAAGGAGACAGAUUCCACCGAAAGAAUCAGCCUCAAAUUUUCUUCUGGGGAUUUACCCUUUCCCCACCCUCAGUCUAUGAGGUCUCAAUGGCAUUCUGAUUCCUACCUCAAGAUGGAUCCAUGACCCAAGCCCAAGACAACCUGCACUUGUCUUCCUGAGGAUAUGAAUUUAAGGGGCUGUGAGGCUGGCAUUCCUGCAGCCAUCUUAUGACCAUGAGGGGAUUGUCCGUCUGAGAAUGGAGCCAACCCAAAAGACAUGGAGCUGAGAGAUGGAGAAAGAGAAACCAAGUCUUAAUUACUUGAACCAAAAAUUAACUUUUGUUUAAGCCCAUUUGAAUGGAUCUUUCAUUACUUACAACUAAAAGAGUCUUAACUGAUGUAGUAAUGAUCAUGUGAAAUUCACUUGCAUAAGAG